AGGGAUUUUGUGAAAAGGCUUCUCCUGGGGGAGAAUUGUAGGAAAGCAGAACAUAAUUACCCAAAAUUCCAAUUUGAGUAAUUACCUUCUGCCUACCUAACAUUCCCUGGAUGCUGUCAGUUGGCUGCAGUGCUCUUCGCUUCCUCCUCUUUUAAAGAAAAAAGCCUGUUGUACAGCGUUGUUGUGCUUCGUUUAACCAGUUGCCGCAAUCCACCCCAGAGAUGGCUGCAUUUCAGUAGCGGGCUAUGCAGAGCUUGUCAAAAGAGCUUCAGGGUCUAGAGUGACCAGACAGUAAAUGUGAAAAAUCGGGAUGGGGGUGGGGGGAUAAUAGGAGCCUAUAUAAGAAAAAGACCCCAAAAUCGGGACUGUCCCUAUAAAAUUGGGACAUCUGGUGACCCUAUCAGGGUCCAUUGUUACAACAACACGCUGCCAAUACAGUAAAAAAUCAUGCUGAUUGCAUCCCAAGGGCAUCGACAACACUGGGAUCUUGCUGCUUCUCAGCUAAGUUUCCUUAGCAGUGGAUUGUCACAACCGUGGAGAAAGUAUCAGGACUCCUAGGCAGGUGUCCGUGUUCACACAAGGAGAGAGAGACCCGGAUCUAAGCUCUGGAUCCAAACAUUCCCAGCACUUGGGAACAUUUAGUGUGGCAUCAAGAUCUGGAUGCAAGUUUUGUGGUUCAGUCACCUCAUAGUUCCCGAGAACUACCAGGCCCAUGCAGACUGGCAGGGAGGCAGGCAUAAUAUUCCAUAGCUGAGGUCAUCCGUCUGGAAGAAGAGUGGUCCUCGCAAGGAAUGCUGGUGCUAUCUAGAGGUAGCGUGGUCCAAUGGGUAGGGCACUUGCCUGGGAGGCAGGAGAUCCAGUUCUGUUCUCAGCCCUGCUCCAGAGCUGCUGGGUGACCUUCUCCAGUGCUUUGUCUGGCUUGUCUAGACAGACUGUAAGCUCUUUGUCUGGAGAGCACACAACACAAUGUGGCCCUGAUCUUGGUGUUACUGAAAUACAAAAGGAGCAGUUUGGAUAUUGGGGACUGUGCCUUUAAGGGCUGAACUGGGUGGGCAGGACUCUUGCCAACACCUUAAGCACCCAGCCCUCACAGAUGCCCACAAAAUGAGCAGAGGGGGUUGUAAUGGACGAGGCAGAACUCGGCGGCAGGAAGCAGAGUGGAGUGAAGUUCUCCUACCUCAUUUCAUUCCCUCCCUCCUUUCACUGCUCCGUGGCCCAGUUUGCAGAGAGGAGGGUCAGGAAUCCAUCGCUCUCCGGGUCCCCCUCCCUAGCUGCUGAGAUAAUCGAGGGUUUUACUGCAGUAGACCGUGGCCAGCUUUUCUAAACAUCAUCUCCUAAUGCUUCCCCAAAGAGCUAGCGAGGCUGCCCUGCACAUUAGUAAUCAAUGCACAUAGCAAACGGCUUGCUCUCGCUUCCUCCACCUCUCCUGCUCUCCCUCCCUACCAGCCCUGCCUUUCCAGAGCAAGGACAGGGUUGCCUGGUAUGCAGAGAAGAGUUAUUUGUGCUAAUAAAGCAGCAGAGGGUUUUUCUCUCUGCUUGCA
rnacentral:lncRNA from 1 species